GCCCUGGUAGCUCAAUUGGCUAGAGCGUCGGACUUUUAUCGUUCUGCGUGAACGAGUGAUCCGAAGGCUGCGGGUUCGACCCCCGCCUGGGGCG